UACAGGGGGUGCAAACGUUGCUCGGAAUUAUUGGGCGUAAAGCGCGCGUAGGCGGCUACUUAAGUCGGAUGUGAAAGCCCCUGGCUCAACUGGGGAAGUGCACCCGAAACUGAGUGGCUUGAGUGCGAAAGAGGGUCGCGGAAUUCCCGGUGUAGAGGUGAAAUUCGUAGAUAUCGGGAGGAACACCGGUGGCGAAGGCGGCGACCUGGGUCGACACUGACGCUGAGAGACGAAAGCUAGGGGAGCAAAUGGG
rnacentral:rRNA from 1 species